rnacentral:rRNA from 1 species
AAUCGCGGAUCAGCAUGCCGCGGUGAAUACGUUCCCGGGCCUUGUACACACCGCCCGUCACACCAUGGGAGCCGGUAAUACCCGAAGUCAGUAGUCCAACCUCGUGAGGACGCUGCCGAAGGUAGGAUUGGCGACUGGGGUGAAGUCGUAACAAGGUAGC